rnacentral:lncRNA from 1 species
CGGCCGGCCAACGCUGCGCCCCGCCCCCUACCGGGACCUAGGCGCUGAUUGGCCCCUGAGAGACCCUUUGCGCCCAGGCAUUGGUCCAGUGGCCGCCUGUCGACGAGGGGGCGGGACUCCGAGGGGUAGCGAUUCCCGUAACGCGGCUCUUCGCGUCCCGGAUUCCGGUGGCUGCGUCCGCGUCGCCUCUCCCAGACUAGAUCGAAGGGUUCCCCCCACCUCCCCUCUGUGGGCGGAAAGAGCGGAAUGUUCCAUUUUUCUGUGGAAUAACGGGGUCAUGAACUGGAGCCCGGGUGCUGCCCGCCGCCCGCUGCCCCCGCCCUCCCUUCUCGCCAGGGCGCCUGCGGCCUCUCUUCGCGGCCUUCCCCGAGGGACUCAGAGCCGCGAGGGACCGCCUAGCUCCCUUGGGGAUGGGGAAGGCGUGGGAGCCUCUUGGGGAAAGUGAAGAGCUCGGUGGCCGUGACUCCGCACGAGACUGCGGCAGAUUGUGGCGGCGGCUUCUCUCCAAGACUUACGUAAACGAGCCUUGCCACAGUACUUUUUUAAAUUAGUAAAUGAGUUUGGGUGCGAUUGAUCAGUGAGCCCCAGAGGUGGUGGCCCACCAAGCGACUAGUGUUUCUUUGCGGAUUUACGGAAUGGCCAUCUUCCAUAAUUAACAAAUAAAUAAAUGAAAUUUAAUGUCAGGGUCAAAUGAAACUGGAAACAAAGCUUAUCUGGUGAUAUAUCAAAUUAUGAGAGUCAUUAUUUGGAUGUAAGGAUAUAUGACAGAUAGACUCUUAGGAGAAAUGCUAUGACCUCCUGCUUCUUGGUAUUCCUUGUGUGAUUUCCUCCUCUUGAGUGUGAAGGCAUGUAUGUCAUUGAGUUAUAUAAGAUAGUGCCCAUCUUGCUAGUGUCUCUCUCUCUCUUGUGGCUCUGAAAAAUCAAGCUGCCUGCCAUGUUUGAGCUUUGAUAUGGAAAGACCCACAUGUUAAGGAACUGAGGGCAGACUCUGCCAACAGCUAGCUUUGAAACUGAAUCUCCCGGCCAGGCACAGUGGCUCAUGCCUUUAAUCCCAGCACUUUGGGAGGCCAAGGUGGGUGGAUCACAAGGUCAGGAGUUCAAGACCAGCCUGGCCAAGAUGGUGAAACCCCAUCUCUACUAAAAAUACAAAAAUUAGCUGGGUGUGGUGGCAGGCACCUGUAAUCCCAGCUACCCAGGAGGCUGAGGGAGAGAAUUUCUUGAACCCAGGAGGCAGAGGUUGCAGUGAGCUGAGAUCACGCCACUGCACUCCAGCCUGGGUGGCAGAGCGAGACUCCAUCUCAAAAAAAAAAAAAAAAGAGAGAAAGAAACCAAAUCUCUCAGUCCUACAACCUCAAGGAACUGAAUUUUGCCAACAAAAGCAGAUCCUUCCCCAGUCAAGCCUCAGAUGAGACAGCAUCCUCAGCUAACAACUUGUUUGCAGCCUCAUGAGAACUGAAGCAGAGAACCCAGCUAAACUGUGCCUAGACUCCUGACCACAGAAACUGAGAUAAUAAAUGUGUGUUGUUUUAAGCUGCCAAGUAUGUGAUAAUUUGUUAUGUAGUGGAGAACUAAUACAACAGGGAAAAGUUAAAAGCUAUUCACAUAAAUAUUUAUAAUGGAUACUAUUUCUACACAUUUAAAUCAAGCUUCUCUUACGUUCAUAAGAAGAUACGAAUCUGGAGAAGGAAAUUAUAUCAAGCAGAACGCUGCUCUGGUGUUGUGAAGACGGGAUCCCACCAUUCUAAUGUAUUCAAUUUAUUUAUUCAAUAAGUUUUGAGCAUCAACUAUGUUCCAGGCACUGAGAUAUUAAUCUAAGGAAGACACACGUGUUGUCCUCAUUGAGGAGCUCAAAAGUCUAAUACAUAAACCAACAAUCAUACAAAAAUCAUAGCCAUGUUACAGUGCUAUGAGGAAGAUGUUAAGAGAAUAUUCUGGAAGUACUCAUACAUAAAUACUUCAGAAACUGGGCAUUAUAAGAAGUCAGUUGCCUCUCUCUACUUUCAGUUCUACAUUUUUAUACCUUGUAGUGGAUUUAAAAUGGCCACAAAUUCUUCAAUACUCUUCUAUGGAGAGAUUUGAGGGCUAUUUCCCUUCAUCUUGAAUUUAGGCAGGCUUGUUCAGGGUCUGGCUUUUAAGAGGAGCUUUCACCUUGGUCUGUGGAAGUCCUGAGUCACUGUGUACAAAGUCCAUCUACCUUAUUACACCAUCUGGAGAGAGCUGAGACUACAGGGAGAGGGGGAGUGGCCCGGCUGAUCCCAGUCUUCCUAGUGACCCUGCCCAGGAACUUGGCAUGUGAGUAAAGCCAUCUUGGAACCUCCAUACCAGACCAGCCACGAGAUGAAUAAUACUAACUGAUCCCAGUCAAUGCCACAUAGAGCAGAAGAACUGCCUAACUGAAUUCUUUCCAAACUGCUGACUCAAAAAUUUGUAUGGUAUAAUAAAAUGUUUGUUUUAAGUCACUGUUUUGUUAGGAGUAAUAAGCAACCAGAAUAAAAUUCUAAUCUUUAUCAUGUACCGUGCUGAAAAUCUGACCAUCUCACUCUCCUUAAAACUCCGUCAAUCCCUUCCCAUUACCCAAAUC